UCCUAGUUGGGCCUGGGCACCUGCCCAGAACUUCUGAGCGGAGCGUUGUUCACAUGCCACUCAUUCUUGGCAGGCGAGAUGCAGAAGGCAUCGGUCUGUGAGCAUCAUCUCUCCUCUGCCGCCUGCCAAGGUUUAGACAGGACGUCUUUCUUCCCAGAGAAUGAGGGCAUCUUCCCAGCCGAUCUCCCAUCACCUGGACAGAUGAGGAAACCAAGCCACAGAGGUUUAAGCAACUUGCCGAAGGACACCCAGCUGAGAGGUGGUAUCAAUAGAACUUGAGCCUAAGCAGUGUGGCUCCAAAGCUCAUGUGUUGAGCCCUCAAGGCACAGAGUCAACCCUGUGAGUCCCAGCCAGCCUGAAAUCUCUGGUUCUGGUCAGUAGAUGGAUGAUCCAUAUUGGGAAGAGCAAGUAUAGUGCAGCUGCCCAGGGCUGUAGGGCCACCUGACCCACGCACCUGGGAACACCUUACCUCUUACAGAAACUUACUUCUAGAUUUCAGUGGUGUUGCUUUGAAGACCAGAAGGCAAACCCUGGGUGUGCACCUGCCUGACCAUCACCUCUGGUGUGAAUGAUCCCACCCAAGCAUAUUCCUAAGGACUGGGCUGGACUCCAUUCCCGGAGCUCUGGCUGGGAUGGUUCCUUAAUGAAAGCGUUUCCCUUUGACUUCCCAGCAGCGGCCCUUCCUUCCUCACUUGUUGGGAAAACCCAGGGCAUGUUAGCUCCUGCCUCAGAAGACAAAGAGGAGAAAUCCUUCCUGAGCUUCAAAGGAAACUUCAUAACCCUAAAAGCAGUGGUCUGGCUGGCAAAGUCUUUCUCUCCCUCGGCGUUGGGUGGCCUUUAGUGACUCCUGGCUUCAACCCCAAGCCCCCAGCCCCACUGAAAGCUUGAUGACCUCUCCUCCUCACUUGGUCCUAGUCCCCAUGCACUCCAGCAGGGCUUACUGCAGUCAUUACUAAGGCUUUGGCUCAUUAGAGGCUCUUCCACUUGGGCACAGGAUUGGCAAAGAGUUGCAAUUUGGAGCAUUCUGUUUACAAACAAACUAACCUCAUCAAGUCAAGCCAGGAGGCAGCAAGCAGCUGGGGAGAAGCCACAUUCCCAUCCCUGGCCUUCCCCUCCCUCCUGGGUUAGUUAUCUCCCACUCUUCUUUCCAGGGUACUGUGCACCUGGGCCCUCAGUCACCUCUGCUGGGAAGCUCUUUGGAAUUUACGGAAUGCCUUUCUGCAGCAUUCUGUCUUAUUUGCGUGACUGAGGAGGAUUUUGCCACUGAUGUCCUGUAUUUCAACAAAGCGUCCUGCUUGCAUUUUCUUUCACCUGCUUUGCAAUUGUUUAGUAAUACUUAAGUGCCAGGCUCUGGGUUAAGCACUUUAUGAAGCUUUCCACACAAUACCUGGGUUAGUUCCCUGACACUCUGUGAGGUGAGGGCUAUCACCUUUCCUACUUCACAGGGGGGCAUCUGAGGCCCCGUGAGGCUAAAUAGUUUACCCAAGGUCACAGGGAGAUGGAGUGAGCCAGAGGACAUCCGCUUGUGCCCUACUGAGGCCGGGGCUCCCCAAAACUCUGCAGUCCUGCCUCCCUCCAUGGGAGAUUCAGUACAAACCAAAUAGCCACCCAGAAAUCAACAGUGUUGACUUCCCCACCAAGAUGUGAUCCUUUAGCUUUGCUCUCUGAGGCCUUGAUGGGUUUUCCACAAAGACCCUCCUCUUCCCCAGGGUCUCCUUUCUCUCCCCCAUUCUUCAGAGACCUCCACAACAAAUCACUGCUUGGGAGCCAGUAACAAGAAUGCCAAUUAUUGUUCCAUGAACCAAGUGUAAAGUGGGGGCUUUCUGAUGGGAAAAGCAAGACUUAGAGCAAGUUUCUCAUCUCUGUGACUUUAACAUAUUUCCUACAUUUUUAGCAAAAUUAUAGAGGAUAGUUCCUUUUGGAAUCUUUUGAGCAGCCUCCAUUUUAAUUCGAGAUGGCAAAUUCAUCCACAUGUUAAACUUGAGCGACAGACCUGCCUUCUCUUUUAGAAUUAAUUCCAGUUUGGUCAAAAGCAACACUCUCUUCAAAAGUUAGCUUGGAGCCAAUGAACAGAGGAAAAGAAAAUGUUCAAGUGGUCUACUUAAACAAGACCUCGCUCCAUCCCACCAAUUAAAGAGAAAUUAAAACGGCUUCCAACUAGAACUUUAAAUGCCUCUGAAGGGGAAUUUCUGAAGAAAAAACCUUUGCCGUUCGAGAUACUUGUUAAAGAUAUCACAGUCUUCAAUCUCAAGGGUCCCUGGAUUCCCAAAAUCUUUGAUCAUCUAAAUUUAGCUGUUUUCAUAAACAUUUCAGACAGCAGGCUAAUUUUUAUUCCCUGGAGAGCCUCAUGCACUCAGACUGCAAGUCCAGGAAGAAUGUCAACUUUUAAGAACUAGUCAAAGCCUCGCUAAGACUAAGAGCCAGAUACCAGCUAUUCGGCUGACUUUAAAUCUGUGUCAUUACUCACUGUCCCUUGAAGAGGAACAUAAAAUUUUACUAUAUGCUGCUUGUAAUUCAACAAAUAAUUACUCAGCAGGUGAUGUGGGCAAGGCCUCCUCACAGGGUGCUGUGAAGGAAGCAGAGAUGAGCAGGCCUGGCUGCUGCCACUGCAGUCCAGCAAAACAAAGAACAUACAAUCCUACCAAUCAGGUUGCAGGUUGGUGCAAAAGUAAUUGCAGUUUUUGCCAUUACUUUUAAUAACAAAAACUGCAAUUACUUUUCCACCAAUGUAAUAAUAAGUGUGAAUGUGUGAGUGUAUGUGUGCAUGUGUGCACAUGUGUGUGUGUGUGUGUGUGUGUGUGUGUGUGUGCGGGUGCAUAUGCAUGCAUGCUUGUGAGAGGCAGUACACUCCAAGGACAAUUUGUUGGAAAAUAUGUCAUUGAAUCUGAGAUAUAAAGAAUGGAUAGAACUAUGGGUAAUUUUUCUGUCUUUCCAUUUUCCGUCUUUAUUGCUGGCAACUUGUUUAUGUGAUUAAUAAUAAUAAAGCAGAGAAAAAUGGGGAGGAGGUGAAGGCCAGUGUGUUCCGAGAGUACCAUGAAAGUGUAGGCCUGGAGGCUGGAAAUCCCAAGGCGGAUCAUUUAGAAAACAAUAUGCUGCUAAUAUCUCUUUUGUUUUGAAAACAAAUUCAUGACUGUGCACCUUUAUUUAGUAGCUGUAUGAUGUUUGCCCACACAGAUUUCUACUGCUACCAAUAAAAUGAUCUUUUACUAAGUCCUAGGAUAAUAGCCAAGAGCACCUGCCCUGGAGUCAGCCUGUAUGGCCGCAUGAGUUUGGGCAGGUCAUUUAAUCUUUUGAGCUUCAAUUUCUCAUAUUUGAUUUCAGAAUAGUAGUAGUACCUGGCUCAUAGAGUCAUCAAGAUGAAACGAGAUCACCUCUCUAAAAAAUACCUUGUCCAUUGCACACAGUAAAUGUUCUGUGAAAGUCCACAGUUGUUUCAACAUCUAGGGAGGAUCCUUUCAGCCCAUGUCUUCUUGGAGCUACUGAUCUGACCAUUUUGACCUAGUGGAUGGUUUUUUUUAACCAUAUAGUUUAAUAAAGAUGGACCACAAUACCCAUAUGUCCAUCACAUCACUUUAUCUUACCACUUUCUGUUACCCAGGCUUAAUCUUCUUGAAAGCAGAAUCUAGGCAUGCAGAUGAGAAAAUUGGCUCAGACCCUGUCUCCCAGUGGAGAGAUGUAGUAUCCAGCUAAAUCCUAGAACUUCUGACUUGAAUCCACUUCUUUUCCCAGUAUUUGAUACAAUCUGUUAAAUGUCUUAAUGUCAUGAAUGUGUUAAUGAGGAUUCAUUUUGUGGCAGAAGCAGGAAUCAGAACUGUGUCGUCCCCUAUGAUGAAACGUCCACUCUAGACUGCUCCUUCGAGGCAGGACUUAGAGGUCAAAAGGAUGCGACACAUCUGGUUUCUGGUCAUCUCAUGCUUUUCUUGUGGCUUCAUCCUCAGUCUGCACAUGGCUGGAAAAGCCUCCAGCAUCCCCAAACCUAUGUUUCAGGAGGCAUCCUGUGCUCAGUCCUGCCUUGGGGUCAUGAGUCCAUGCUUGAUGGGAUUAUGACAAUUAGCCAAGACAAGGUCACAAGUCACCAUCAACAAACCCCUUGGAGAAGGGUGUGAGGACUCUGCUUGGUCAAGAACAGGUCACUCAUUUCACCACGCAUCCAUCCCAACCACACUGAGCACAGAAGUGGGGCUGCUUCCACAGAGGUCAUUCAGGAUUCUGUUACCAGAAGAAAAGACACUGGGCAAGCCAAGUCAGCAUUUGUCCACUGAGGAAUUGCCCAUUACUAGAUAAUAGAGGAGAAAAUUAUUUUCUGGCUAACUGAGAGUUACACAUAGAUUCCCCUAUUUUCUUUCUUUCUUUCUUUCUUUCUUUCUUUCUUUCUUUCUUUCUUUCUUUCUUUCUUUCUUUUUUUUUUUUUUUGAGAGGGAGUCUCACUCUGUCACCAGGCUGGAGUGCAAUGGCACGAUCUCAGCUCACUGCAACCUCUGCCUCCCAGGUCCAAGCCAUUCUCCUUCCUCAGCCUCCCAAGUAGCUGGGAUUACAGGUGCUCACCACCAUGCCCAGCUAAUUUUUGUAUUUGUAGUAGAGAUGGGGUUUCACCAUGUUGGCCAGGAUGGUCUCAAUCUCUUGACCUCAUGAUCCGCCCACCUUGGCCUCCCAAAGUGCUGGGAUUACAGGCGUGAGCCACUGCGCCUAGCCAAAUCCCCCAUUUUCAAAUCACCAGAAUGUAAUAAAGUAGACUUCAAGGGUCACAUCACAAGAUGCCCCCAAUUUCUUAACCCGAGGGUUAACCUUGUGCACAUCUAUCCUUACUGUGAUGAACCUAAUCCCAUCUUUCCUAUUGUAAUGAGCUGAAAGAGUGGUCCAUAGAGGACCAUAACGAUGGAAGUGUUGGAGACAGUGGUGACUAGGACCACCACGAAAAGUCCUCCAAUAGUUACAGAACCCAAGCAUGGGUUCUCUAACCCAUACUGGAUUAGAGAAAAGUCCAAAGGGAGACAGGCUAACUAUCUCCUAAUAUGUGAGGGGCUGUCAUGUAUGGGGGAAACAUAUUGUUAAUUCAAUAUUCCAUUUAGAGGUAACAUUCCAUCGAAUGGGUGGAAGUUAUCAGAAGGCAGGUUUUGGCUCAACAGUGGUAUAGUGAAUGCUUGUUGAUUUUGCUCUCCAGCAUGCAUUCUUCCUUUUUCUGGUAAUGGCACCCUGAUUUUGUUCUUCGGAGACAUUUUCUCCAUUCUCAUUUCAUGUAGUUUGAGCAGCUUCCGUACCCACCUUCAAGAAAGUAGCCCGUGAUGGAGGUUUAGCCAGUCAGCUUAAUGCAUGCUCAGGCCACAGGCCCUGGCUGGUGGUGGCAGUCACUUUCUGUAUCCCUCAGCCCACCUGUGGUUUCUGCUGAGCCAGGGCACCCAGUUCCUAGGACCCUGGUAGUAUCACGCUCAAGCACCUGCUGUGACCCCCUGCUUUUCUGCCUCAGGCCUUUAUCUGAAGCCUACCCCCUGACCCUAGCACAUCCCAUCUGAAUUCAGCCCAGAGUGGGGAGGUGGAAGGGAGCAAAUGCCUCCAAAAAUGAUCUUCAACCAGUGGAGACAGGAGAUGGGGUGUCAAUGAGCCAUCACAUCUUGUCCUUCUAGGGGGCAUUCUACACAAUUUCUGAGGGACCCCGGUAGGGCUGAGCCUCAUUUGUUCAUAGCAGUAACCAGUUUCAUUAUAUAUCUUUUAUUGACUUUCCCUCUUUCCCUGGGCUCACCUUCCACAUUAACUGCUUGUACUCAAAUCUCAAUCUCAGGCUCUGUGGGUGAGUGGCAGGUGGCACCCAAAUGAAGUCAUUGGGAAUUGAUAUGUUAUCCAGUUUGGGCCAGUGAGAGAACAAAAACUCCCAAGAAUUAGAAGGGAGCCAUUGGUGUGGUGUCAUAAAAAAAUGAGUCUGAAUUUGCCAGAGACCACCAAGCAGAUCCAGAGGACAAAGCCAAGUAGAAGGAAACAGAGCUGAGAUGAAGCUUGGUGAUAUCCUUUGAGCCCUGAAUCAAGCCUCACCUGAACCCUACUUUACCUGGAAUCUUGAAAGUUAUGUAACCCAGUAAAUUCCUCUUUUAGCUCAAUUAACUGAAAGUGGAGGGGAUUUUUUCUACUCCACUUUCAACCAAAAGAUUCUGAACUAAAACCACAAAGAAAUAAGUUUCCAACCAUUAGCGCCGCCUCACAGUCAAUAAGGUUGCCUUGAAAAGUAUUGAGCUCCCCAUAAUUGAAGAGAUCCAAGCAGAACACAAUAAAACAUAUAUCUAAUGUGCUGGAGAAGGUUUCUCCUUCUACACUAAGUUUGUUUUAGGGGCUUAGGAGGCAAACUACACAAAUUCCAAGAUCCAUUUCAACUCUAACGUAUCGGAUUGACUAAUAAAAAUGAAUAAAUUGAUUCAACACCUCUCUGGCUAAGAGGUGACCAGUGACAGUGUUUCCAACUUUGGCCUUACUCAUCACACUGUAAUAUGGUUUGGCUACGUGUCCCCACUCAAAUCUCAUGUUAAAUUUGUAAUCCCCGGUGUUGAGAGGGAGGGACACAGUGGGAGGUAAUUAAAUCAUGGGAGCAGAUUUCCUCCUUGCUGUUCCUGCGAUAGCGAGUGAGUUCUCACAAGAUCUGGCUGUUUGAAAGUGUACAGCUCUUCCGCCUUCACUCUCUCCCUCUCCUGCUGGCCAUAUGAAAAUGUGCUUUGCUUCCGCUUCACCUUCUGCCACGAUUGUAAGUUUCCUGAGGCCUCCCUAGAAGCAGAAACCUGUACAGCCUGCAAAACCAGGAGCCGAUUAAACCUUUUUUCUUAGUCUCAGGUAUGUCUUCAUAGCAGUGCAAAAACGGACUAAUACACACUGCUUGCAUAGUAUUAAACAAUCACAUUUCAUUAAUAUGAUUAAUGAUUAAUCAUUGUUUCCCCUGCCAUCUCCCUACCCUCUGACAAUUUGGAUCACUGAUACUUAUUUAAAGCUUUUCUUUUCAGAAUUGCCUAAAUGCUACAUUCUCUACCUGUAUCAGAGGGUUGACAAGACAAUCAGCACACUCAGUGGUAAUAUCAGGUCCCAAAAAGAGACAUUCUCACUGAGGAGGAAUCAGUCAACCCCAGAGGCAGCAAGAAGGAUUCACAGCUUUCUGGUUACUAAAAUAAGGACUACUUUUACUCAGGACAAGCCUAAUUAUUAUUUUGAUGGCAGAAGGUUCAGAUAUGUUAUCCACAGGCUCACAGAUCUCCUCCCUCCACCCCAAAAGACCUGCUCCCACAAGACAUGCUACAUUAAUAUUUAUUUUUUCAGAAACAGCAUGCAUUAACAAAAUGAAUAAAGCAGCAGGAAGUAAGUGGUCUCAGAAUUUUUUUUAAUAAUAAAAAAAUCAGCUUAUUAAUGGUGAAAAUAUACCAACAGGCACUUGUUUUGAAGAAAGAUGUUCAACCUUGCAUACAGAAGGAGCUGCCUGGCAUGGUUAGCGGGAACACACUACAGAUGGGAGUGAAGUCCCCACUGAUGGCUGGAUGGAGGGGCCCCCAGCCACCUGCCCUCCCCACACAUUUGGAAGGAGAGACCACAAUACCAUGCUCAGAGCUACAUAAAUGAAAAAAAGAAAGAGGAGAGAGGCGAUAGCCCUUAACAUUUUUGGCCCAAGGAAAGAAGGUUUUAAUCAGAAAGCGCUAAUUCACUUAUGGUCAGCAGAAAGAUAAUAAGAGACAGACUUACUGACUGUUGUAAAAUGUAAUUGAUUAGGGUUUCUGAAUCUUAUUCAUUUUUUAAAAUGUUCUAUCUUGUAUUAUGUAUGCAGGUUGCUGGCUAUAUUUGUUCACUUCUCUCAAUUAUCUGCAUACAGAAAAUGUGACAAGGGCUGCUUUUCUUUUAAUUUACUCUUGUGAUCAAACGAGUUUCAUCCAUCAGGCAGCAGAAUCGUGAAAUGAUUUCCUUUACACAAAUACCAGUGUUUCAGUAAACUCACAAAUGGAUAGGAACGUGCAUAUAACCUCUCUCUCUCUCGCUCACUCGCUCACUCACUCUUCUCUCUCUCCCACAUCCCCUGCCCUGUUUUUCCAUGUGAUGGCUCCCUUUUCCUGUGGGCUGCUGGGAAAAUGGACAAUGGACAAGUGUAACACCCAUCACGAGAAGAACAUGGAGAAUAUGGACGAGUGGCACUGAGUGAGCCCCAACAAGGUGCCUUCCCCCAAGACUCAUCUGAGCUCUGCAAAGACGCAGCACAGCCCCACAGAUGGGCAGCCAACCAGGAGCCCAUCCCUCUUGCCAAUUCUCCCACUGGAAAGUGGAGGAUUCAGGGGAGGAAUCGGGUGGGAGGCACAGGGCAGUUUGGCCUUUCACAUCCCAUUUAAUUAGGCCUGAUGCUUGAAGGAAUAUCCCUGAACUUGGCUGAUGGAUAAGAAAAAGCUGACAUAUUUGGGCUAGACUUUUAGGCUUGGCAGAGUGUUCACUCCAUAGGGGCACAGGGAUCGAGUAUCAGAGGGAAAGAAGAGCACAAAGCUGGGGUCCAAAGACCAAAAGUGUGUCCGGCUUCUGUAUUAUCUGGCCUCCAACUAAACAUUCCCUUUCAUGCCUUCCUCUCUAGGCACAAAGACCCAUUCAACUGUGAAGCAACUUCAAUAAAUUCAACUCCACUGAUAGGGUACCAUGUGAGUCCCUAUGUGCUGGACUCUGUUCUGAGCAGUGGGCUACCAAGAUAAACAAAGAAAAAUCAGUGCCUUUUAGGAGGCCUUGGUUGAGCAAGGGAAGUGAGUCCAUAAAUAAAUAAUUAGAGAACAAAUGCAUCCACUUUAUUACCUGCUAGGCUUAUGUUAAAAUUCCCUUAAAGAUGGAAUGGCUUCUGUUAAGGCAAUUCAUAUCUCUCAAAAAUUGUACUUCUAGCACCGGGGCUUUAUGAACCAAAUUAAUGAUCAGAUGGGUUGAAGGGUUGAAGAUGAAAAUGGAGAUUUCCUGACGCUAUGGUUAAUGUGUGACAUCUAUUCUGGGGUGGCUUCCAGUCUCAGCUCUCCAAAGACAAAAAGACAAUAAACAGUGAGGACACCUAUUAUGGGCUGGAAUAUGUCCCUCCUCACCCCCCAAAUUCAUAUGUUCAAGUCCUAACCCCCAGUAUCUCAUAAUGUGACUAGAUUUGGAGAUAGGGGCUUUCAAGAGAAAAUUAAGCCUGUUUGGGUGAUCCCUAAUCCAAUAUGAUUGGCGUACUUCUGAGAAGAGGAAAUUUGGGCACACAAAGAGACCACAGGGGUACACAGAGAAACAGCCAUGUGAAGAGGCAGCAAGAAGGCCGCUGUCUGCAAGCCGAGGAGAGAGACCACAGGAGCAACCACCCCUCUGCAAGUGUCUUGAUCUUGGACUUCCAGCCUCCAGAACCCAGAGAAAAUAAAUGUUGAUGGUUUAAGCCACCCAGUCUGUAGGAUCACUAUGGCAGUCCUAGCAAACUAACACAGCAUGACUCCCUCUUAGCAAACUAACACAGCAUGACUCACUGAGCUGAUCUCCCCACUUGGCUGCCCAUGGAGAGGCCUUCAUGCCAGCCUCAGGCACCAGCACCCCUUGGUGGCAUUGUGCACCAAAGCACAAAGAUGGUGCAGUACCACCUUAUCCCCUGAGAAACUGCUUUGCCCCCAAGCACACAAAAAGGGAGCUCCUGGCCUCCUGAUUUUCACAGACUGAGCACUGAGCUCACUGCCCCACUGGCUCACUUCACUGAGCUCUGCCUAACCUUGGACUUUUCUACUCCAAUCCCACUCAGCCUCCUGGGACCUUCAGAUUUGACAUUCGGCAUCGUCUUGUAAACUUGGACUCUGACUCCCUCUUGCCCUCAAAUCCCAUUCAGUGUUGCCAGGACCACCUGGUCCUCCCAGCAUCGUGAGUGGACCCAGGGACCUCACAACAUUCCCACACUUCCUCAAAUCUCUCUUCACUCCAGACAGAACAACCCCACGAGCCAAGUGCCCACGUCUCCUCUCUGCCAGGGUGUCCCUAGCACCGACUCAAAGCACCAACUCAAAGCCUGGCACACAGUGUGGGCUUCAUAUACCUCUGGUGACCAAAUUCGCAGACUGGAUACAGACACAAGGAACAGCCUUUCUCUCGUAACCCCAUGCAUUCUCUCAAAGCAAGACUCCAGAAUCAAGUGAAAGCAUUUUAGAUUUAUUUAGAGUGUUAUCUGUUAUCAAGGAUGACGGGGGAAGGUUGGAGGACGCCGGAGCACUUCUGAGCACAUACAGCUAUAGAGGAAGGCAGAGCCACUGCUAAUUUCCCAAGUGGGAAAUACCCUGUCCCCAUUAGCGUUGGAUUUCCUGGCCUCCUGGCUUUACCACGGCUCCAGUGUUAGGUGAACCUUUAUUUUUAUAUUGCACAGAACACACACUCAGACCAAAAAAAAAAAAAAACAACAGUAAAGGGGUAUGCUUUUUCUCAGCUAUUGGAAAACAUAUAUAGGCUUCAUGGAUCCUACAUUACCUCUAAAAUUGUUUUCAGAUCUGGCCUGUCCUAUGUUAAAUCGCUCCCUCAUUUUUCUUUUUAUGUGCAGCCUUCAUUGUGAAACAGUUUUUGCAUCUGGACAAUGAAAUUGAACUUGCCUAAAGGGCAAGAAACAACGUAUAAUCAUAAAUUGAAAACUUCUCAGUUGGAAAGAAGUCACUGGAGGCAAACAGAUGAUGGGAAACUUUUGUUUUGUUUUGUUUGAGAUGGAGUCGCAUUCUGUCACCCAGGCUGGGGUGCAGUGGUGUGAGCUUGGCUCACUGCAACCUCCACCUCCCGGGUUCAAGCGAAUCUCCUGCCUCAGCCUCCUGAGUAGCUGGAAUCACAGGCGCCUACCACCAUGCCUGGCUAAUUUUUGUAUUUUUAGUAGAGACGGGGUUUCACCAUGUUGGCCAGGCUUGUCUUGAACUCCUGAUCUCAAAUGAUCUGCCCACCUUGGCCUCCCAAAGUGCUGGGAUUACAGGCGUGACCCACCGCACCUGGCCAAUGGUGGGAGACUUUUAAGAUUUAGGUAGUUACAUCAUCAUUCUCCAAGACCCAGCAUGAGCAGUCCAAGGAGGAACAUCAGAUCAGGAGUCAGAAGACCCAAGGUUGAUUGACAACCCCACCCCUUCAAAGCUGUGUGACAUUGGGGAAAUCACUUCACCUCUCUGAUUGUCCUUAUUUUUUUUUAUUAUUAUCAUACUUUUGCAUUUGUAAAAUAAAAGUGAUAUUUAUGCCAUGUCUGUCAUUAGGUCAUUGUAAAAUUCAAAUGAGACCUUUGCUAAAAUGCACCACUCUGUACAAGUAAAGGAAACAUACCAGGAAAGAACAUCUGAAGCUUGGAUUUAGAUUCCCAGUCUGCCAGUGAAUACUUCUGUGUCUGUGGGCCUGAGGUAUCACUUUCUCCUUUUACACUUCCGUUUC
rnacentral:lncRNA from 10 species